rnacentral:piRNA from 1 species
UAGGUCUUUGGAGGAAGUAUAGACUCCAAAU